UAGAGUUUGAUCCUGGCUCAGAUUGAACGCUGGCGGCAUGCUUUACACAUGCAAGUCGAGCGGCAGCGCGGGGGCAACCCUGGCGGCGAGCGGCGAACGGGUGAGUAAUGCAUCGGAACGUAUCCUGGAGUGGGGGAUAACCCAGCGAAAGUUGGGCUAAUACCGCAUGAGCUCUGAGGAGGAAAGCGGGGGAUCGAAAGACCUCGCGCUGCAGGAGCGGCCGAUGUCCGAUUAGCUAGUUGGUGGGGUAAAGGCUUACCAAGGCGACGAUCGGUAGCUGGUCUGAGAGGAUGAUCAGCCACACUGGGACUGAGACACGGCCCAGACUCCUACGGGAGGCAGCAGUGGGGAAUUUUGGACAAUGGGGGCAACCCUGAUCCAGCCAUGCCGCGUGAGUGAAGAAGGCCUUCGGGUUGUAAAGCUCUUUCGGACGGAACGAAAUGGGCGGGACUAAUACUCCUGUCCGAUGACGGUACCGUAAGAAGAAGCACCGGCUAACUACGUGCCAGCAGCCCCGGUCAA
rnacentral:rRNA from 1 species